GGCCCGUUUUAGUGAGUAAGAAGAUGAAAUGUACUGAUCAUUGCAUGCAUUAUUCUGACACAAAAUUGUAUCUAACCAUACAGUUCAUAAAUACUGCACUGUUCGUGAAUGGCAGGCUUUAAAUACCCGUUAUGCAAACCUACCACCCCUUCAAUCUCCCCCUUCCUCCUUUUAUUCUCCCACUGCCUCACCUUGCUUCCGGCUUCUCCUCGCCAUAAUUAUUCAUUCAUUUGACUUUCUCAUUGCAUGCACAUUGGCUAAGAGGUGCUGUAAUCAGUUUUCUGAUGGAAGGCAUUUUUCCCUGUAAUCCAACAGAGCGUAUGCCAGGUCUCACUCUGGUUCUUUUCAUAUGGGAGCAGAAGAGGCUGUGCCUCUGGAGGCUUAACAUUCUUAUUCUGAAUGGCUUUUUGCAUUUCCUGCCAUCACUGUCAACACCACAUGCCCUCUCUAUAAAGUGCCACACAAAGCAGACACUGUUUGAGAGGGCUGAGGUAGCAGAGGAAACACGGCUAACUGACUGCUGUUUUUCCUUUUUUUUUAAUAUGGAAACUAAGUAGCUAGUACAACAUUAA